AGUGAACGCUGGCGGUAGGCCUAACACAUGCAAGUCGAACGGCAGCACAGUAAGAGCUUGCUCUUACGGGUGGCGAGUGGCGGACGGGUGAGGAAUACAUCGGAAUCUACUUUUUCGUGGGGGUUAACGUAGGGAAACUUACGCUAAUACCGCAUACGACCUACGGGUGAAAGCAGGGGAUCUUCGGACCUUGCGCGAUUGAAUGAGCCGAUGUCGGAUUAGCUAGUUGGCGGGGUAAAGGCCCACCAAGGCGACGAUCCGUAGCUGGUCUGAGAGGAUGAUCAGCCACACUGGAACUGAGACACGGUCCAGACUCCUACGGGAGGCAGCAGUGGGGAAUAUUGGACAAUGGGCGCAAGCCUGAUCCAACCAUACCGCGUGGGUGAAGAAGGCCUUCGGGUUGUAAAGCCCUUUUGUGGGGAAAGAAAAGCAGCAGGUUAAUACCCCGCUGUUCUGACGGUACCCAAAGAAUAAGCACCGGCUAACUUCGUG
rnacentral:rRNA from 1 species